AUGAGGGCGGCGCUGUUCGGGGCCGAGCGGAGCGGGGGAGUGGGCCUCGCCGGCGGGAAGGAUCUGUGCUACUGGCCGCCGGGGAAGCUGCUGGUGGAGCCCCGGUCGGUGCUCGACUGCUCGCGGAGGCUCAGCAGCCCGCCCAACUCCGCGUCCACGCUGUCGUCGUCCCUCGGCGGCGGCGCGGCUGACUCCACCGGCGUGGCGGCGGUUUCCGAGAGCAGCGCCGGCGACGCCGAGGCCACCAAAUGGGCCGACCACGCCGCCGGUGGAGGUGGUGGUGGGUGUGAGCUGCCGCCCAUUCCUGGGGCGCUGGAUGGAGGGGAGGGCUGGGACGCCAUGCUCGGCAGCGCCGCGGCGGCCGCGGCGGCCGGGCAGGACCAGACCUUCUUGAACUGGAUCAUGGGGGCCGCCGGCGACCUGGAGCUGCCCGUCCCGCCGCUUCCAAUGCAUCAGCAGCCGCUCGUCGACAAUGCGGGCGGCUUCGGAUUCUCGGCCGUCGACCCGCUCGGCUUCUCGCUCGACCACCACCUCGGCGGCGCCUCCUCCGACCUGUCGUCCUCCGGCGCCAUGUCGCACACCACCACCGGCGGGGGUGGCGGUGGCGGCAGCAAGGCCUCCUCGGCUUUCGGCCUCUUCUCACCGGAGGCCGCCUCUCUCCAGCCCCCGCCGCCUCCGAUUCUGUUCCACGAAGGUAUCGACACCAAGCCCCCUCUCCUCGGACCGCAGUCGCAUGGCCUCUUCAACCAGUACCAGCAACAGCACCAACCGCCGCCUCCCGCCGCAGCCUUCUUCAUGCCCCUCGCUUCCUUCUCCGAUCACAACCAGCGCUCGCAACUCCACCAGCCACCGCCCAAACGCCACCACUCCGUUCCAGACGACCUCUACCUCACCCGAAACCACCUGGGCACGUCGGCGGCGGCGGCCUUUCCCCUGCUACAUGGCUCACUCCCGUUCCAGCUCCAGCCUUCGCCGCCCCCGCUUCGCGGGGCGAUGAAGACGACGGCUGCCGAGGCGGCGCAGCAGCAGCUGCUGGACGAGCUGGCUGCGGCGGCAAAGGCAGCUGAGGCCGGUAAUUCCACUGGCGCGCGUGAGAUAUUGGCGCGGCUCAAUCACCAGCUUCCCCCACUUGGGAAGCCCUUCCUCCGGUCGGCUUCCUAUCUCAGGGAGGCCCUCCUCCUCGCGCUCGCCGAUGGACACCACGGCGCCUCCCGCAUCACCUCACCGCUCGACGUCGCCCUCAAGCUGGCGGCCUACAAGUCCUUCUCCGACCUGUCGCCCAUGCUGCAGUUCGCUAACUUCACGGCCACGCAGGCGCUUCUCGACGAAAUCGCCUGCAGCGCCGCUUCCUGCAUCCAUGUCAUUGACUUCGAUCUUGGUGUAGGCGGGCAGUGGGCUUCCUUCUUGCAGGAGCUUGCUCAUCGCCGUGGUACUGGCGGCGUGGCUUUGCCGUUGCUGAAGCUGACGGCCUUCGUUUCAGAUGCUUCUCACCAUCCACUGGAGCUUCAUCUUACUCAGGAUAACCUCACGCAGUUUGCUGCUGAUCUUGGAAUUCCCUUCGAGUUCAAUGCCGUCAGUCUUGAUGCCUUCAGUCCGGCUGAGCUCAUUUCUUCUACUGGCGACGAAAUUGUAGCUGUGAGCCUCCCAGUUGGUUGCUCUGCUCGUGCACCACCGCUGGCUGUAAUCCUUCGGUUGGUGAAACAGCUUGGUCCUAAGAUUGUGGUCGCCAUGGACUAUGGAGCUGAUCGUGCUGACCUCCCGUUCUCACAGCACUUCCUGCAUUGCUUUCAAUCCUGCAUGUUCCUCCUUGACUCGCUUGAUGCUGCUGGAAUUGACGCCGAUUCUGCCUGUAAGAUCGAGAAGUUUCUGAUCCAACCAAGAGUCGAAGACGCGGUGCUUGGGCGGCGCAAGACCGACAAAGCAGUUUCAUGGCGGAAUGUGUUUGCUGCUGCUGGCUUCACACCUGUGCCGCUCAGCAAUCUUGCCGAGGCACAGGCCGACUGCCUCUUGAAGCGGGUGCAGGUCCGAGGGUUCCACGUCGAGAAACGCGGGGUUGCGCUCACUCUCUAUUGGCAGCGUGGCGAGCUUGUAUCAGUAUCAGCCUGGCGGUGCUGA
rnacentral:rRNA from 1 species